UUAAUAAAGUAAAAGGCAAUUUGAUAAUAAAUGAAUGAGAAUCUGCUUUGAUUAAUUUCAUUCAUCAAAUUGUGUCCUCUUACUUUCCUAGUAAGAUGUAAUUAAGAUUUUGUCUGGAAUGAUAUUUAAGUUGAACCCAAAAAUUAUUUUGUUGAGUUUUGUUUACCAAGUGCAAGGGAAGAAUAAGAGAGCAACAGUAGGUCCUCUGCCUGGUGUUACUCAAGAUAUCGCUGGUUUCAAGGUCUAUAUUGAGAUGCAUUUCUUUAGCGCAAUACUAGACAACAAUGAUAGUUGAAGCUUUUAGAAUCAAAAUUAUAUUUCACUAACUUUGUAUACAUUUCUUGUUUAAUAUUUGGUGAUGAUAGAAUUUGACUAUAGUAUAAACUAUCAUGUAAUAUGAUUUUGUAAGUCGAGUAGACUAAAUACUGGAAUGAUAUUUUUGAGUAAUUAAUAAAAAAUUAUUUUGUUGUA